rnacentral:rRNA from 1 species
AACAAACGCUGGCGGCAGGCCUAACACAUGCAAGUCGAACGCCCCGCAAGGGGAGUGGCAGACGGGUGAGUAACGCGUGGGAACGUGCCUUUCGGUUCGGAAUAGUCCCGGGAAACUGGGGUUAAUACCGGAUACGUCCUUCGGGAGAAAGAUUUAUCGCCGAAAGAUCGGCCCGCGUCUGAUUAGCUAGUUGGCGGUGUAAUGGACCACCAAGGCGACGAUCAGUAGCUGGUCUGAGAGGAUGAUCAGCCACACUGGGACUGAGACACGGCCCAGACUCCUACGGGAGGCAGCAGUGGGGAAUAUUGGACAAUGGGCGCAAGCCUGAUCCAGCCAUGCCGCGUGAGUGAUGAAGGCCCUAGGGUUGUAAAGCUCUUUCGGCGGGGACGAUAAUGACGGUACCCGCAGAAGAAGCCCCGGCUAACUUCGUGCCAGCCGCCGCAGUAAGAC